CUACGACGGGUACGGGUUGUGAGAGCAAGAGCCCGGAGAUGGAUUCUGAGACACGAAUCCAGGCCCUACGGGGUGCAGCAGGCGCGAAAACUUUACAAUGCUGGCAACAGCGAUAAGGGAACCUCGAGUGCCAGGUUACAAAUCUGGCUGUCGUGAUGCCUAAAAAGCAUUGCAUAGCAAGGGCCGGGCAAGACCGGUGCCAGCCGCCGCGGUAACACCGGCGGCUCGAGUGGUAACCGUUAUUAUUGGGUCUAAAGGGUCUGUAGCCGGCCGGAUAAGUCUCUUGGGAAAUCUGGCAGCUCAACUGUCAGGCUUUCAGGAGAUACUGUCUGGCUCGAGGCCGGGAGAGGUGAGAGGUACUUCAGGGGUAGGGGUGAAAUCUUGUAAUCCUUGAAGGACCACCAGUGGCGAAGGCGUCUCACCAGAACGGACCUGACGGCAAGGGACGAAAGCUAGGGGCACGAACCGGAUUAGAUACCCGGGUAGUCCUAGCCGUAAACGAUACUCGCUAGGUGUCGGCCACGGUGCGACCGUUGUCGGUGCCGUAGGGAAGCCGUGAAGCGAGC
rnacentral:rRNA from 1 species